rnacentral:rRNA from 1 species
AUCGAACGCUGGCGGCAGGCCUAACACAUGCAAGUCGAGCGGAUGAAGGGAGCUUGCUCCUGGAUUCAGCGGCGGACGGGUGAGUAAUGCCUAGGAAUCUGCCUGGUAGUGGGGGAUAACGUCCGGAAACGGGCGCUAAUACCGCAUACGUCCUGAGGGAGAAAAUGGGGGAUCUUCGGACCUCACGCUAUCAGAUGAGCCUAGGUCGGAUUAGCUAGUUGGUGGGGUAAAGGCCUACCAAGGCGACGAUCCGUAACUGGUCUGAGAGGAUGAUCAGUCACACUGGAACUGAGACACGGUCCAGACUCCUACGGGAGGCAGCAGUGGGGAAUAUUGGACAAUGGGCGAAAGCCUGAUCCAGCCAUGCCGCGUGUGUGAAGAAGGUCUUCGGAUUGUAAAGCACUUUAAGUUGGGAGGAAGGGCAGUAAGUUAAUACCUUGCUGUUUUGACGUUACCAACAGAAUAAGCACCGGCUAACUUCGUG